UACGGAGGGUGCAAGCGUUAUCCGGAUUCACUGGGUUUAAAGGGCGCGUAGGAGGGCAGGUAAGUCAGUGGUGAAAUCUCCAAGCUUAACUUGGAAACUGCCGUUGAUACUAUCUGUCUUGAAUACCGUGGAGGUGAGCGGAAUAUGUCAUGUAGCGGUGAAAUGCUUAGAUAUGACAUAGAACACCAAUUGCGAAGGCAGCUCGCUACACGAAUAUUGACUCUGAGGCACGAAAGCGUGGGGAGCAAACAGG
rnacentral:rRNA from 1 species